UCUGCCUGGAGAAUCCUGAGACCGUUAGUUAGACCUUGUGUAGUAAAAUCAGAAUAAAAUAAUUUAAAUGACUUUCUGCUACGUGGCCCUUUCAGUGGUAAGAGCAGCCAUGGACCUGCGUGGGAGACACGCAGGGAAUGGGCUGCAUUAGGAGAGAGAAUGCUCUCAUCUGAACCUACUUAGGGCUGAGGCUCCCCUCGCCAGCUCACUCCUAUAAAUGCGACUCGGCCUCUCUUCCAAGCUCCCCCAUCCGUUGGCUCCAGAUCUGCAGCUUUUAUUUGACUGGAGAACCUCACCAGGGCUCUGAGCCUCCCCGCUGUGGCUUGGAAGCUACCCUCACCUCCAGCCCCAGGGCAGAUCCUGUGUCCUGGAUGGUCUGUGCCAGUCCGUGGCAUUCUCUUGGCAAGGCUGGUGAACCCCUGAAACAGAGUCUCACCAAGUUGCUGAGUUGCCUAGGCUGGCCUUGAACUUGUGAUCCUUCUGCCUCGGCCUCCCAGAGUACUAGGAUUAAAGAUAAGAUCUUGUUAUUUACCCCAGACCGGUCUCAAACUCCGUCUUCCUGCAUUUCUGCUAUUCAAGAGGCUGAGACAAGAGGAUUACCUGUAUCUUGAGGACAGCCUGGGUUACAUAGUGAGUUCAAGUCUACCUGGACUAGAUGGAGAGACCUGGUCUCAGAAAACAAAUACGCAUCACAGAAGGACUUCUCAGCUCUGCAACUCAGCAGCACUUGAGGUUGUACCCUGGAAUUCCCCAAGUGCAUAGGUGGAAAUACUAAUGUUAGUACUAGCAUGGAUCCUUGCUCUUGUGGUGACCUAAAAUUUAGACUGAAACAUGAAUUUCCAGAAGAAAUUUCAGUGUGAGGAGCCAACAGAGACCCAGCAGCCCUAGCUCCAGAGGAUCUUUAGGGCUGCAAGGGCCAAAGACGUGACCUUUCCACAGGCCUGGAACCUGAGCCUGCUUUCAGUGUAGGUCAGCGUCUAGAGAUGUCUGCCCUUGGUUGAGUAUCCUGGUGCUCUCCCCUUCUUGGUGUCUUCUUGGAGGGGUGAUGAGAUUGUAUAACUUCAGGGUUGAUCAGUCUUGUGUUGUCGAUUUUUAGACACAUCUUAAAGACUUAGCGUACCUGUGUGCAGCGGAAACCAAAGGAAGGUCGAAUUGUGCUCUGAUUUUGGUUACCUAUGAGGCAUCUUCAGGCCAGAGGGAAGAAUCACUGUUUAUGAUGUAUUUAUUUUUAAUAAUGAAAUUAUUAUUAAAAUAAAUAUUCUCCUAAGAAAACACAAAUCAUGCUUUUUCUGAGUAACAG